rnacentral:rRNA from 1 species
GACGAACGCUGGCGGCGUGCCUAAUACAUGCAAGUUGAGCGCUGAAGGUUGGUACUUGUACCAACUGGAUGAGCAGCGAACGGGUGAGUAACGCGUGGGGAAUCUGCCUUUGAGCGGGGGACAACAUUUGGAAACGAAUGCUAAUACCGCAUAAAAACUUUAAACACAAGUUUUAAGUUUGAAAGAUGCAAUUGCAUCACUCAAAGAUGAUCCCGCGUUGUAUUAGCUAGUUGGUGAGGUAAAGGCUCACCAAGGCGAUGAUACAUAGCCGACCUGAGAGGGGGAUCGGCCACAUUGGGACUGAGACACGGCCCAAACUCCUACGGGAGGCAGCAGUAGGGAAUCUUCGGCAAUGGACGAAAGGCUGACCGAGCAACGCCGCGUGAGGGAAGAAGGUUUUCGGAUCGUAAAACUCUGUUGGUAGAGAAGAACGUUGGGGGGAGUGGAAAGCUCAUCAAGUGACGGUAACUACCCAGAAAGGGACGGCUAACUACGUG